AUUGAACGCUGGCGGCAUGCCUUACACAUGCAAGUCGAACGGCAGCACGGGUGCUUGCACCUGGUGGCGAGUGGCGAACGGGUGAGUAAUACAUCGGAACGUACCUUAUCGUGGGGGAUAACGCAGCGAAAGCUGUGCUAAUACCGCAUACGCCCUGAGGGGGAAAGCGGGGGAUCGCAAGACCUCGCGCGAUUAGAGCGGCCGAUGCCUGACUAGCUUGUUGGUGGGGUAAAAGCCCACCAAGGCGACGAUCAGUAGCUGGUCUGAGAGGACGACCAGCCACACUGGGACUGAGACACGGCCCAGACUCCUACGGGAGGCGGCAGUGGGGAAUUUUGGACAAUGGGGGCAACCCUGAUCCAGCAAUGCCGCGUGAGUGAAGAAGGCCUUCGGGUUGUAAAGCUCUUUUGUCAGGGAAGAAACACCGGCUCUAACACAGUCCGGGAAUGACGGUACCUGAAGAAUAAGCACCGGCUAACUACGUGCCAGCCGCCGCCGUAA
rnacentral:rRNA from 1 species